AAUAAGUUAAGAGUUAAUUAAAUAAUUAAAAAUAAAUUUUAAAAUAGAUAAUAUAUAGAAUUUAUUUUAAAAUAGAUUCUUUUUAAAAAGAAAGUAAAAAAGCAUUAAUUUAUUCUUUUCUCUCCGUCCUCUCCUCUCCUUCCGACAUCUUCUUCUUCUUCUUUGAUUUUCCAGGUGACUUGCAAGAAACCACCUCCCGUUGACUACAUACGCAACACCAACCACCUCUGUCGAUGACACAUGCAAACCCUGCAGUUUGGAAGCUCUCAUCGACACCUCUGUUGACGACGCGUCGUUCCAGUUCUGGGUCUGUGUCGUCGUCGAGCCCCCAGACCGAUCCCCAGCAUCGUUUCCUUCCACUCAGCCGAGCGCCUGUGCUUGCCCAUUGUCGUCGCCUGUGCUUGCCUCUGGGGUCAUCUGUUCUUCUACAUCUUCAUGGGGUGGGUGAAUAAAACGUCAAAAGUAAAAAAUUGAAGAACAGGAUGACGAGACGUAUAAAACGUCGGCUAGGCAAAGAUCGGCUCUCAGAAAAGCGCUCAGAGCAGAGCUUGUGACGGGCUAGGAAAAACGUCGACGGAGCUCGAACGGGGCUAGGCAAACGAAAGAUGAGAUGGGCAACACUGAUUUGGGUUUCUGAACAAUGAUGGAGGAUGUUGAUGAGCGGGUUUGAUGUUCAAAUCUGCCUGAGUUUUUUUCUUCUCUUUUCUCAGAAUUUUUUUUUUUUUGAUCUGGCGAUGUUUGAAUGUUUCUUAAUCUGCCUGAGAUUGUUCUAUUCUUGGUUUUGUUUUAAAAAAUUGUUUGUAAAUCUGUAAUGAAUUUGAGUUGAAUAUUGUAUGUAAAUUUGGAAUAGAUUUUUUUCUUGAAGAA